GGGAAAGUGGCUCAGUGGUAGAGUGCUUGCCUUGCAUGCAUGAGGUCCUGGGUUCGAUUCCUCAGCACCA
rfam:Dipodomys ordii contig_32585, whole genome shotgun sequence.